rnacentral:misc_RNA from 1 species
GAAAUGCGAUAAGUAGUGUGAAUUGCAGAAUUCAGUGAAUCAUCGAAUCUUUGAACGCACAUUGCGCCCCUCGGCAUUCCGUGGGGCAUACCUGUUCGAGCGUCAUCUACACCCUCAAGCUCUGCUUGGUGUUGGGCGUCUGUCCCGCCUCCGCGCGCGGACUCGCCCCAAAUGCAUUGGCAGCGGUUCCUUGCCCCCCUCUUUGCGCAGCACAUUGCCAUUCGAGGCGGCGGCGGCCCGCGUCCAACAAGCUCAACCCCCCCGUCUUUGACCUCGGAUCAGGUAGGGAUACCCGCUGAACUUAAGC